UCAGUCAGCGCUGAGAAUAAUAGAAACUAACCAGGAUUCCCUUAGUAACGGCGAGUGAACUGGGAUACCAAUAUAAAAUAUGCACUCUGUGCAUAAUUUAGCCCGUCGAUACUAUCCUAGCAUAUCACCGGUCUCGGCCGGUAACCAAAUAUGCGGGAAUUGUAGCAUCGUAACAACACAAAAAAUAUAUACGCACACACACAUAUGCCUCACGCCUCACAGCACGUACUGACAUAUCUUGUAAACACACAGCGUCUCCGCGUUGGAAAGCAAGUAUAUAUCCUCUUUGGAUAUGCCAUAGAGUGUGACAGCCACGUUUGAAUCACUCAUAUAUGCAGUAUACAUGCUACUCACACACACACACUCACGGCGCGGCGUGUCGUGCACACACAAUAUAUAUUUAUAUAACCUGAGUCGAGUUAUUUGGGACUAUAGCUCUAAUAGUUUGGUUGGUGGUAAUGACACAUCAAAGGCUAAAUAUUGGUUAGUCGAUGCAUAUUGCGGAGACCGAUAGCAUACAAGUACCGUAAGGGAACGAUGAAAAGCACCCUAUUGAGUUCACGGCGCAGACUUGCUUCGGUUCGCCGUUGCUUGGUCCCGCGCCCAACAACUACAGUGGGAGUGAAAGAGAGAGU
rnacentral:rRNA from 1 species